rnacentral:rRNA from 1 species
ACGGGUGAGUAACGCGUGGGAAUCUACCUUUUGCUACGGAAUAACUCAGGGAAACUUGUGCUAAUACCGUAUGUGCCCUUUUGGGGAAAGAUUUAUCGGCAAAGGAUGAGCCCGCGUUGGAUUAGCUAGUUGGUGAGGUAAAGGCUCACCAAGGCGACGAUCCAUAGCUGGUCUGAGAGGAUGAUCAGCCACACUGGGACUGAGACACGGCCCAGACUCCUACGGGAGGCAGCAGUGGGGAAUAUUGGACAAUGGGCGCAAGCCUGAUCCAGCCAUGCCGCGUGAGUGAUGAAGGUCUUAGGAUUGUAAAGCUCUUUCACCGGUGAAGAUAAUGACGGUAACCGGAGAAGAAGCCCCGGCUAACUUCGUGCCAGCAGCCGCGGUAAUACGAAGGGGGCUAGCGUUGUUCGGAUUUACUGGGCGUAAAGCGCACGUGGGCGGACUUUUAAGUCAGGGGUGAAAUCCCGGGGCUCAACCCCGGAACUGCCUUUGAUACUGGAAGUCUUGAGUAUGGAAGAGGUGAGUGGAAUUCCGAGUGUAGAGGUGAAAUUCGUAGA